AGCCCUAAAAAAGAAAGAAUAAAACGACCUCAGUAUGCUACACAGAUAUACACUUACAAUCUAAUUCCUCACUUGUCACCGUAAUGUCAAUUUGUUCCUGUGCCGAACACAACACUCUGAGUGUGUGUGCACUCGUGGAGGAGCACCUAACCAUUCAUUGUUACCCAGUUGGGUCCACAGCGUUUGAUUCAGUCCUGUUAUAUUCUGUGUCAAGUCAGUGGGGAAGUCAGCUUGAUUUAAUUUUAUCUGAUUCAUGAUUUGAGCUUGUGCAAUAACAUGCGGCUAGAGUAUGCCCGAAGCUCUGUCUAGUUGUGCCGAAUGCUCACUUACAGCAAGCAGCAUGGGUGAGGAUGUAUAUGUUUCUUUGGAAAGUUAAGAAAUCAGCCUGUUCCAUUUCCAUAUCCGAAAUUUUGUCUGUGUAAUAUGUUGUGUGUUCACUAUCCACUAUUCUCGGUCUGGCCCCUUUCGAACUUGAUUAUCGUGGGCUGGCCCGUGGAGCCGUUGAUUAUCGUGACCCAGCCCCUUCCGUCCCUGAAUCUGGUGUGCCGCCUCGGUUAUGGCCUUAUGUUGGUGUCUCUGGUUUUCGCGGUACGGCCCCUGGCGUCCGUGAUUCUCGCGGACCGGCCCAUUGUGUCCCUGAUUCUCGCGGUGUGACCCCUGGCGUUCCUUAUUAGCGCGGUCCGGUCCCUGGCUUUCCUGAUUAUCUUUGGCCUGCCCCUGGCGCCCUUGAUUAUCGUGGGCCAGCCCCUGCCAUCCCUGAAUUUGGUGUGCCACCUUGUUGCAAUGGCCUUAGGUUCGUGUUCCUGCCUCUGGCGUCCCUGGUUCUCGCGGCCCGGCCCCUGGCGUCCCUGAAUCUAGCGGUCUGGCGCCUGGCGCCCCUGAUUGUAGCGGUCUGGCCCGUUGCGUCCAUGAUUCUCGCUGUCCGGCCACCGGCGUCCCUAAUUCUCGGUCUUGCCCCUUGAGUACCUGAUUAUCGCGGUCCGGCACGUGGCGUACCUGAUUAUCUUUGGCCUGCCCCUGGCGCCCUUGAUUAUCGUGGCCCAGCCCCUGCGUCCCUGAAUCUGGUGUGCCGCCUCGUUGGUUAUGACCUUAGGUUGGUGUCCCUGCCUCUUGUUCCUGGUUCUCGUCGUGUGGCCCCCGGGGUCCCUGGUUCUCGCGGUCUGGCCCCUGAUUCUCCCGGUACGGCCCCUGGUGUCCCUGACUUGCGGUUCGGUGCCUGGCUUUCCUGAUUAUCGUGGCUCAGCCCCUGCCGUCCCUAUAAUCUGGUGGGCCGCCUCGUCUAUGGCCUUAAGUUGGUGUCCCUCCCUGUCGUCCGUGGUUCACGCGGUCCGGCCCCUGGCGUCCCUGAUUCUCGCGGUCCGGUCCCUGGCUUUCCUGAUUAUCUUUGGCCUGCCCCUGGCGUUCUUUAUUAUCGUGGGCCAGACCCUGCCGUCCCUGAAUCUGGUGGGCCGCCCCUUUCAAUAUGGCCUUAGGUUGGUGUUUCUGUCCCUGGUUCUCGCGGUCCGGCCCCUGUCCGUGAUUCUCGCAGUCUGGUCCCUGGCGUCCCUGAUUCUCGGUGUGGCCCCUGCCGCCCUUGAUUGCCAUGGCCCAGCCCCUGCCGUCCCUCAACCUGUGGGCCGCCUCGUUGACUAUGGCCUUAGGUUGGUCUCUGCCUACCGUCCCUGGUUCUCGCGCUCUGGCCCCUGGCGUCCGUAAUUCUCGCAGUGUGUUCCCUGGCGUUCCCAAUUCUCACGGACUGGCGCGUUGCGUCCCUAAUUCUCGCGGUCUGACCCCUUGCGUCCAUUAUUAGCGCGGUCCGGUCCCUGGCUUUCCUGAUUAUCUUUGGCCGACCCCUGACGCCCUUGAUUAUCGUGACCCAGCUCCUGUCGUCCCUGAAUCUGGUGGGCCGCCUCGUUGGCUAUGGCCGUAGGUUGGUGUUCCUGCCUGUGUCGUCUCUGGUUCUCGCGGUCCGGCCCCUGGCGUGCCUGAUUCUCGGUCUGGCCCCUUGCGUACCUGAUUUUCGCGGUCCGGCCCAUGGCACCCUUGAUUAUCGUGGCCCAGCCCCUGCCGUCCCUCAACCUGUCGGCCGCCUUGUUGGCUGUGGCCUUGAGUUAAGUGUCCCUGCCUCUGUCAUCCCUGGUUCUCGCCGUCCGGCUCCUCGCGUCCGUGAUUCUCGCAGUCCGGCCCCUGGCGCCCGUGAUUAACGCGGUACGGUCCCUGGCUUCCUGAUUAUCGCGGCGCAGCCCCUGGCGCCGUUGAUUAUCGUGGCCCGCCGUCCCUCAAUCUGUGGGCCGCCUCGUUGGCUACAGCCUUAAUUUGGUGUCCCUAGUUCUCGUGGGCGGACCCCAUCGUUCCUGAUUGUCGCGUUCCGGCCCGUGGCGUCCCAGAUUAGCGCGGUUCGGUCCCUGGCUUUCCACAUUAUCUUUGGCCUGCCCCCGGCGCUCUUGAUUAUCGUGGCCCAGCCCCUGCCGUGUCAGAAUCUGGUGGGCCGCCUCGUUGAAUAUGGCCUUAGGUUGGUGUCCCUGCCUCUGUCAUCCCUGGUUCUCGCGGUCCGGCUCCUGGAGUCCCUGAUUACCACGGUGCGGUCCCUGGCUUUCCUGAUUAUCGUGAGUCAGCCCUUGCCGUCCCUGAAUCUGGUGUACCGCCUCGUUGGUUAUGGUCUUAGGUUGGUAUCCCUGGUUCUCGCGGUCUGGCCCCUGGCGUCCCUGAUGUCGCGGUCAGCCCCCCGGAGUCCAUGAUUCUCAGUCGGGCCCCUUGCGUACCUGAUUCUCCCGGUCCGGCCCCUGGCGUCCGUGAUUCUCGCGGUCCGGCCCGUUGCGUCCCUUAUUCUCGCGGUCUCCCCCCUGAAUUCCCUGUUUAUCGUGGGCCGGCCCUUGGCUUCCUUGGUUAACGAGCAGCAGCUCCUGCCGUCCCUGAAUCUGGUGGGCCGCCUCUUUGAAUAUGGCCUUAGGUUGGUGUCCCUGUCUACCGUCCCUGGUUCUCGCGGUCUGGCCCCUGGCGUCCGUAAUUCUCGCAGUGUGUUCCCUGGCGUCCCAAAUUCUCACGGUCUGACCCCUUGCGUCCAUUAUUAGCGCGGUCCGGUCCCUGGCUUUCCUGAUUAUCUUUGAUUCUGGUGGACCGCCUCGUUGGCUAUGGCCUUAGGUUGGUGUUCCUGCCUGUGUCGUCUCUGGUUCUCGCGGUCUGGCCCCUUGCGUACCUGAUUAUCGCGGUCCGGCCCCUGGCGCCCUUGAUUAUCGUGGCCCACCCCCUGCAUUCUAUGCACAGAGCAUAAAAUACUUGUUAGUCAACGCAUUUCAGCUUCGUAACAAUUAAAGGAUUCCAAGUUGACACUUGAACUUGGAAGCUCGCCUACACAAUAACCUUCAGAAUGACAAGCUGAGACCUGAACAUGUGUGUUCCAAUGUCCUGUACAAGUCCAUUAAUCAUUCUAACUUAAUUUAUAUUUUCAGGUCAUACUGCCUCAAACAGAGGGUCUGGCCUCUGGCGUCCCUUAUUAGCGCGGUCCGUUCCCUGGCUUUCCUGAUUAUCGUGACCCAGCUCCUGUCGUCCCUGAAUCUGGUGGGCCGCCUUAUUAUAUUAUUUAAUGAAAUUUUAUAAUAUGUUCAGUAUUUAUAAGUUAAUUAAAACAAUUGAACAAAUUAUGAACGAACUCAACCUAUUUCAUGAAAUUUUUUCCGAAUAUUCUUUGUCGAUUUCACGUUAAUAUAAGGAAAUACAGACCAUAGCAUUAGGUUGGUGUCCCUGCCUGUGUCGUCUCUGGUUCUCGCGGUCCGGCCCCUGGCGUGCCUGAUUCUCGCAGUCGGGCCCCUAGCGCCCUUGAUUAUCGUGGCCCAGCCCCUGGCGUCCCUCAACCUGUGUUCCCCCUCUUUGGCUAUGGCCUUAGGUUGGUGUCCCUGCCUCUCUCGUCCCUGGUUCUCGCGGUCCGGCCCCUGACAUCCCUGAUUCUCGCGAUCUGACCUCUGGGGUCCCUUAUUAGCGCGGUCCGGUCCCUGGCUUCCUGAUUAUCGUUGGCCGGCCUCUGGCGCCCUUGAUUAUCGUGGCCGAGCUCCUGUUGUCCCUGAAUCUGGUGGGCCGCCUCGUUGGCUAUAGCCUUAAGUUGGUGUCCCUGCCUCUGUCGUCCCUUGUUGUCGCGGUCCGGCCCCCGGCGUCCCUGAUUCUGGGUCUGGCCCCUUGCAAUACUGAUUAGCGCGGUCCGGCCCCUGCCGUCCCUCAACCUGUGUUCCCCCUCUUUGGCUAUGGCCUUAGGUUGGUGUCCCUGCCUCUGUCGUCCCUGGCUCUCGCGGUCCGGCCCCCUGCGUCACUGAUUCUCGGUCUGGCCCGUUGCAUACCUGAUUAUCGCGGUCCGGCCCCUGGCUUCCCUGAUUAUCGUGGGCCGGCCCCUGGCGCCCUUGAUUAUCGUGGGUCAGCCCCUGCCGUCCCUCAAUCUGUGGGCCGCCUUGUUGGCUAAGGCCUUAGUUUGGGGUCCCUGCCUCUGUCAUCACUGGUUCUCGCGGUCAGGCCCCUGGCGUCCCUGAUUAGUGCGGUCCCGUCCCUGGCUUUCCUGAUUAACUUUGGCCGGUCCCUGGUGCCCUUGAUUAUCGUGUCCCAGAUCCUGACGUCCCUGAAUCUGGUGGGCCGCGUUGUUGGCUAUGACCUUAAGUUGGUGUCCCUGCCUCUGGCGUUCCUGGUUCUCGCGGUCCGGCCCCUGGCGUGCCUGAUUCUCGCGGUCUGGCCCCUUGCGUACCUCAAUCUGUGGGCCGCCUCGUUGGCUAUGGCCUUAGUUUCGUGUCCCUGCCUGUGUCUCUGGUUCUCGCGGUCCGGCCCCUGGCGUACGUGAUUCUCGCAGUGGCCCCUGGCGUCCCUUAUUAGCGCGGUACGGUCCCUGGCUUCCCUGAUUAUCGUGGCCCAGCUCCUGUCCCUGAAUCUUGUGGGCCGCCUUACUUUAUUAUUUAAUGAAAUUUAAUAUGGUCAGUAAUUAUAAGUUAAUUAGAACAAUUUAAACAAAUUAUGAACGAACUCAGCCAAUUUCAUGAAAUUUUUUCCGAAUAUUCUUUGUCGAUUUCAGGUUAAUAUAAGGAAAUACAGACAAUAGCCUUAGGUUGGUUUUCCUGCCUGUGUCGUCUCUGGUUCUCGCGGUCCGGCCCCUGGCGUGCCUGAUUCUCGCAGUCGGGUCCCUGUCGUCCCUGAUUAUGGCGGUCCGGCCCCUAGAGCCCUUGAUUAUCGUGGCCCAGCCCCUGCCGUCCCUCAACCUGUUGGCCGCAUCGCUGACUAUGGCCUUGAGUUAGUGUCCCUGCCUCUGCCGUCCCUGGUUCUCGCGGUCCGGCCCGUGACGUCCCUGAUUCUCGCAGUCUGACCUCUGGCGUCCCCUAUUAGCGCGGUCCGGUCCCCGACUUUCCUGAUUAUCGUGGUCCUGCUCCUGUCGUCCCUGAAUCUGGUGGGCCGCCUCGUUGGCUAUAGCCUUAGGUUGGUGUCCCUGCCUGUCGUCUCUGGUUCUCGCGGCCCUGUCCCUGGCGUGCCUGAUUCUCGCAGUCUGGCCCCUUGCAUACCUGAUUAUGGCGGUCCUGUCCCUGGCGCCCUUGAUUAUCGUGGCCCAGCUCCUGCCGUCCCAGAAUCUGGUGGGCCGCCUCGUUGACUAUGGCCUUAGGUUAGUGUCCUGCCUCUGUCGUCCCUGGUCCGCCGUCCGGUCCCUCGCAUCGGUGAUUCUCGCAGUCCGGCCCCUGGCAUCUCUGAUUAGCGCGGUACGUUCCCUGGCUUUCCUGAUUAUCGUUGGCCAGCCCCUAUCGCCCUUGAUUAUCGUGGCCCAGCCCCUGCCGUCCCUAAAUCUGUGGGCCGCCUCGUUGGCUAUUGUCUUAGGUUGGAGUCCCUGCCUCUGUCGUCCCUGGUUCUCGCGGUCAGGCCCCUGUCGUACACGAUUCUCGCGAUCCGCCCCCUGGCUUCCCUGAUUAUCGUGGCUCAGCCCCUGCCGUCCCUGAAUCUGGUGGGCCGCCUCGUUGCUUAUGGCCUUGAGGUUGGUGUCUCUGCCUCUUUCGUCUCUGGUUCACGCGGUCCGGCCCCUGGCGUCCCUGAUUUUCGCGGUCCGCCCUCCUGCAUCUCUGAUUCUCGAUGUCCGUCCCCUGGCGUACCUGAUUAUCGCGUUCCGAUCCCUGGCGCCCUUGAUUAUCGUCGCCCAGCCCCUGCCGUCCCUGAAUCUGGUGGGUCGCAUCGUUGGCUAUGGCCUUAUGUUCAGGGGCGGCAACCACUCAUAACAGCCAUCCAGCCCGUAUAAAGUCGCUAUAUCGACUACGCGAUCACGGCCAUUUCUUUGUUGGUAAACUGCAACUAUUUAAAGAGUCUGGGUGAGAAAGUGAAAUCUCCCCGCAGGGAGACUUGACCUUGCAGACUGAACUACAUUUUUCUUUAAUUUGACCAAUUACCUAGAGACAGUGAUGCUUGGUAAGUGACGAGUCAACUGUCAUGAUACUUACAACAUAUAUCCGCCUUAAUGUUUCUAGCACUGCUCCCAGCAGCACUAGGCCAAAGAUACCCUGCAACACAUCAGUACAGGAGUCACAUGAGUUUUAAUCCCAAUUGAAACUUGCCUACUGACUGAGAUUCUGAAAUUUACCUCUAAGAAUAUAUGGCGAUUUAUUAUUUAUCUAAUCCUGUUCAGGAAAUUUGAGUGAAUCUCUCUCUCUCUC